rnacentral:rRNA from 1 species
UGCCAGCCGCCGCGGUAAUACGGAGGGUGCGAGCGUUAAUCGGAAUUACUGGGCGUAAAGCGCACGCAGGCGGUUUGUUAAGCUAGAUGUGAAAGCCCCGGGCUCAACCUGGGAUGGUCAUUUAGAACUGGCAGACUAGAGUCUUGGAGAGGGGAGUGGAAUUCCAGGUGUAGCGGUGAAAUGCGUAGAUAUCUGGAGGAACAUCAGUGGCGAAGGCGGCUCCCUGGCCAAAGACUGACGCUGAGGUGCGAAAGCCAGGGGAGCAAACGGGAUUAGAUA